ensembl:snRNA U6 U6 spliceosomal RNA
GUGCUCACAUCAGCAGCAACUAUACUAAAAGUGGAACAAUCAGAGAAGGUUAGCAUAGCCAUUAUGCAAGGAUGACAUGCAAAUUCAUGAAUCAGUCUAUAUUUUU